UAAUUUUGUUCUCUCAUUACAGUUGCACGUGUUUCAUGCUCGAAGCUUCACUAUUUGGUUAGUUUUAUCCGAAUGUCAAGUAGGUUCGUCAGUUUUAACAAGUAUCAAUAGUCAAGAUUUUAAAGUUAAGUAAAUCUGUUUCAAAAAAUCUCAAGAUGCUACGGUUUCUGAUCAGCCUGAGUAUCGGAGUAUACGCCGGAAUCUAUAUAGCACAAAAUUAUGAGGUAUGCUGAACACAUGAUCAGGUUCCACGUGUAGACGAGCCAGCGAAAUUGUAUGAACGAGUGACGCAGUUUUUAGAAGACAAUAAGAAGAAGCCAUGAUGAAAUUAU